rnacentral:lncRNA from 1 species
AGUUUUUCUACACCAGGAGUUCCAAAGUCAAGCUACAUUCAAAGAGAGAAACAACACAUUGGAUACUCAAGUUAUGAACAGUCAGAAGAGUCAGAAAUUCCUUAUAGGAUAGAACAUGUGCAAUUGAAAUCUAAUAUUUUCUGUGGAAAAAAACAUAUAUGUGUACUAUAUGGCCAUCUGAUCAUUUUAAAAACAUACUCAGAAUACUUUAAUAAAACACUAUGAGUAUGAAUUAUCUAUGCUCUAAACACUUUACUUCUCUUUCUGCGUUUAUGCCAUCACUUCUUAUCUCUUUAUACCUUGAAUUUUUCUUUCCUCCCUCUCUCACUCUAUGUCUCCUGAACAAAACUUUCAUUUCCAAUAUCUAACUUCACUAACUAAGUAGGGAUGGCAGAUGUUAUCACCAAAAUGCAGCAUAACACUUGCAAACUGGUUUAUGACAUGCAUCUUUAUAAAGUGCUCAGUGAAAUUCAUAAACGAUUGAUUGAAAAUUGGUCAAAGAGAAUAUUGAGUACUUUAUUAGUUACUGGCUAAAGCUAAGGAGUUACACAACAGCAUCAUAUCUAAAUAAGGAAUUUUAUUUGAAAUAUGUAAUUUCAUUAUGAAUAAAUUCCAUAAAAUAAACUAAGAAUUGCUAAA